AACGAACGCUGGCGGCAUGCCUAACACAUGCAAGUCGAACGAAGGCUUCGGCCUUAGUGGCGCACGGGUGCGUAACGCGUGGGAAUCUGCCCUUUGGUUCGGAAUAACAGCUGGAAACGGCUGCUAAUACCGGAUGAUUACGAAAGUCCAAAGAUUUAUCGCCAGAGGAUGAGCCCGCGUUGGAUUAGGUAGUUGGUGGGGUAAAGGCCUACCAAGCCGACGAUCCAUAGCUGGUCUGAGAGGAUGAUCAGCCACACUGGGACUGAGACACGGCCCAGACUCCUACGGGAGGCAGCAGUGGGGAAUAUUGGACAAUGGGCGCAAGCCUGAUCCAGCAAUGCCGCGUGAGUGAUGAAGGCCCUAGGGUUGUAAAGCUCUUUUACCCGGGAAGAUAAUGACUGUACCGGGAGAAUAAGCCCCGGCUAACUCCGUG
rnacentral:rRNA from 1 species